rnacentral:rRNA from 1 species
CUGGCGACAGGAUGCCAAUCCCCAAAACCUCUCUCAGUUCGGAUCGAAGUCUGCAACCCGACUUCGUGAAGCUGGAUUCGCUAGUAAUCGCGCAUCAGCCAUGGCGCGGUGAAUACGUUCCCGGGCCUUGUACACACCGCCCGUCAAGCCAUGAAAGCCGGGGGUACCUGAAGUACGUAACCGCAAGGAUCGUCCUAGGGUAAAACUGGUAAUUGGGGCUAAGUCGUAACAAGGUAUC